rfam:Myotis brandtii contig223059, whole genome shotgun sequence.
GUCUACAGCCAUAUCACCCUGAAUGCACCCGAUCUCAUCUCACCUCGGAAGCUAAGCAGGGUUGGGCCUGGUUAAUACUUGGAUGGGAAAAAAAGCAGCAAAUGCACAAAUUCUAAAUAGUAGUCC